ACGGAAGGCAGCAGUGGGGAAUAUUGCACAAUGGGGGAAACCCUGAUGCAGCGACGCCGCGUGAGUGAUGAAGUAUUUCGGUAUGUAAAGCUCUAUCAGCAGGGAAGAUUAUGACGGUACCUGACUAAGAAGCCCCGGCUAACUACGUGCCAGCAGCCGCGGUAAUACGUAGGGGGCAAGCGUUAUCCGGAUUUACUGGGUGUAAAGGGAGCGUAGACGGCAAUGCAAGUCUGAAGUGAAAGCCCGUGGCUUAACUGCGGGACUGCUUUGGAAACUGCAUGGCUAGAGUGUCGGAGAGGUGAGUGGAAUUCCCAGUGUAGCGGUGAAAUGCGUAGAUAUUGGGAGGAACACCGGAGGCGAAGGCGGCUCACUGGACGAUCACUGACGUUGAGGCUCGAAAGCGUGGGGAGCAAACAGGAUUAGAUACCCUGGUA
rnacentral:rRNA from 1 species